UCAAAUUAUGUCUUUGUGGCUCCAACGUUAUAAAACAUUGUUUGAUAAAAUCGCAGAUAAAAAUGAAAGGAGACAAAAGUGGUCGUAAAGGUCAGCUCUCCGUAGCUACAGAGGUGUUUGAAGUUGCGCCAUCGUUGCAUGUGGUAGAGCUUAGGAAAACCGGCGGCGAUACCCUCGAGUUUCAUAAGUUCUACAAAAACUUCUCAUCUGGAUUAAAGGAUGUAGUCUGGAAUACUGAUGCAGCCUCUGAAGAACAUAAGCGAUAAGAUAUAAUAACAAGUUGUUUAUCAAUUCAGAUUUUUAAAAAAAUUAAAGUUGAACUUGUAUAAUGAAUAGUAAAAUCUGGAGUUGGCAAAUUUGGAAUAUAUUGAAAAAAAAAAAAAAAUGGAAUAUAUUGCUAACAAAAAGCCAAACUUAAUAGAAGUGGGCUUAUAUGGAGGUAUAUUAUAUAUCCAUAGGGGUUAGCCUUAGCCA